UGGAGAUGCUUGAGUUAAAGGGGGAGAUCCAUUUCUGCGCAGCUGCUACUGGUUCUUUCAUCGAGUGGCUGCAGAUUCAGUUUGGGUGUUGAUUUUGGGCAUCUAUUUGUGCUGGACCAGCUGUAAAUGGGUGGAGAAGCUCCAUUUUUCUCCACAGCAAACUUUGGAUUUCUUCAUCAAAGGGUGUGGAUUUUGUUGUGGAUCAAGGUAGCCUGUAGAUGGUUGGUGUCGCUCGGAGUAUCCUGUCUGCCGGGUCCUACGUCAC